CAGUGGUCGAAUGGUAAGGACACUUGCCACUCACAAUGGAGUCCCGGGUUCGAUCCCCGGUCGAGGAAGU
rnacentral:tRNA from 1 species